GAAAUCAAGGAAGGUGUACCAAUCUGAGAUGGAGUUUCGCUCUUGUUGCCAAGGCUGGAGUGCAAUGUCAUGGUCUGGGCUCACUGUAACCUCCGCCACCUGGGUUCAAGCGAUUCUCCUGCCUCAGCCUCCUGAGUACCUGGGAUUAAAGGCGCGCUCCACCAUGCCAUGCUAAUUUUGUAUUUUUCGUAGAGACAGGGUUUCACCAUGUUGGCCAGGCUGGUCUCAAACUCCUGACCUCAGAUGAUUUGCCUGCCUUGGCCUCCCAAAGUGCUGGGAUUACAGGUGUGAGCCACCGUGCCCGGCCUUAAGUCGUAUUUCUUACAUUCAAAUCAUACCCCCAAUUCCAUCCCUGUAGAGGAGGGCUGGGGAGGAUCUUACGCAUCAAAUACCCUGGUAGGCACCUCCGUGGGGCCAGAAUAAAAGGUGUAUUCACCUUCAGUUAAUUAUUGUUGGACAUUUAACAUCAUAUGCUCUGUUAGACACUUGAAUGGGGCUCAUUAAAUGCUCACUUAUGGUGGCUUCCAACUGUUGAACAGGGAUGAUGACAAAGAUUCUAAAAUGAACUUUUUGUUCUCCCUGAAUCAGAUUAGCUUCCUGAUGUACCUAUUUCAGGUGAUGAAACUCUCAUUAUAAUCAUUUGAGCCCAAAAUAGCGGUAUCAUUUUAACUCCCUUCUCUACCUUAUCCCUAGAGGCAAUUGCCCACAAGUCCAACCCAUUGUUCUUUCUAAAAUGCAUUUUGAAUCCACCCCUUCCUUUCCAUUCCCAAAGCUCUUACAGCAUUUUGUGACUUCAAAAGUGGAAGUUUCUAACAGUUCUACACACCCAUUUUCUCACCCACACACCCUCCCUUUCCCUCCUCAGAUGCCACCACCAGAUUUAUGUUUCCGAAACCCCAUUUAGAUCACACCAUUUUCUUGUUGGACUUUAUAUUUGUAAAUAUUCUGUUCAGGAAUUCAG
rnacentral:lncRNA from 1 species